UACGUAGGGUGCGAGCGUUGUCCGGAAUUAUUGGGCGUAAAGAGCUUGUAGGCGGUUUGUCGCGUCUGCUGUGAAAAUCCGGGGCUCAACCCCGGACUUGCAGUGGGUACGGGCAGACUAGAGUGUGGUAGGGGAGACUGGAAUUCCUGGUGUAGCGGUGAAAUGCGCAGAUAUCAGGAGGAACACCGGUGGCGAAGGCGGUUCUCUGGGCCUGUACUGACGCUGAGGAGCGAAAGCGUGGGGAGCGAACAGG
rnacentral:rRNA from 1 species